rnacentral:rRNA from 1 species
GAUGAACGCUGGCGGCGUGCCUAAUACAUGCAAGUCGAGCGAACAGAUGAGGAGCUUGCUCCUCUGACGUUAGCGGCGGACGGGUGAGUAACACGUGGAUAACCUACCUAUAAGACUGGGAUAAAUUCGGGAACCCGGAGCUAAUACCGGAUAAUAUAUUGAACCGCAUGGUCCAAUAGUGAAAGACGGUUUUGCUGUCACUUAUAGAUGGAUCCGCGCCGCAUUAGCUAGUUGGUAAGGUAACGGCUUACCAAGGCAACGAUGCGUAGCCGACCUGAGAGGGUGAUCGGCCACACUGGAACUGAGACACGGUCCAGACUCCUACGGGAGGCAGCAGUAGGGAAUCUUCCGCAAUGGGCGAAAGCCUGACGGAGCAACGCCGCGUGAGUGAUGAAGGUCUUCGGAUCGUAAAACUCUGUUAUUAGGGAAGAACAAAUGUGUAAGUAACUAUGCACGUCUUGACGGUACCUAAUCAGAAAGCCACGGCUAACUACGUG